CUACGGGCGGCUGCAGUGGGGAAUAUUGGACAAUGGGGGAAACCCUGAUCCAGCAAUGCCGCGUGUGUGAAGAAGGCCUGCGGGUUGUAAAGCACUUUCGGUUGGGAGGACUGCUUCUAGCACUAAUAUUGUUGGAAGUUGACGUUACCUUCAGAAGAAGCACCGGCUAGCUCCGUGCCAGCAGCCGCGGUAAUACGAAGGGUGCAAGCGUUAAUCGGAAUUACUGGGCGUAAAGCGCGCGUAGGCGGCUAGAUCAGUCGGGUGUGAAAGCCCCGGGCGUAACCUGGGAACUGCAUCCGAUACUGUCUAGCUUGAGUACAGGAGAGGAGAGUGGAAUUCCACAUGUAGCGGUGAAAUGCGUAGAUAUGUGGAGGAACACCAAUGGCGAAGGCAGCUCUCUGGCCUGAUACUGACGCUGAGGUGCGAAAGCGUGGGGAGCAAACAGGAUUAGAUACCCCUGUAGUC
rnacentral:rRNA from 1 species